GGCCUUGUGGUCUAGUGGUAUGAUUUCCGCUUCGGGUGCGGAAGGCCCCGUGUUCGAAUCACGGCAAGGCCC
rfam:Vitrella brassicaformis CCMP3155 genome assembly, contig: scaffold48